rnacentral:rRNA from 1 species
GAUGAACGCUGGCGGCGUGCCUAAUACAUGCAAGUCGAGCGAACAGACGAGGAGCUUGCUCCUCUGACGUUAGCGGCGGACGGGUGAGUAACACGUGGAUAACCUACCUAUAAGACUGGGAUAACUUCGGGAAACCGGAGCUAAUACCGGAUAAUAUAUUGAACCGCAUGGUUCAAUAGUUAAAGACGGUUUUGCUGUCACUUAUAGAUGGAUCCGCGCCGCAUUAGCUAGUUGGUAAGGUAACGGCUUACCAAGGCAACGAUGCGUAGCCGACCUGAGAGGGUGAUCGGCCACACUGGAACUGAGACACGGUCCAGACUCCUACGGGAGGCAGCAGUAGGGAAUCUUCCGCAAUGGGCGAAAGCCUGACGGAGCAACGCCGCGUGAGUGAUGAAGGUCUUCGGAUCGUAAAACUCUGUUAUUAGGGAAGAACAAAUGUGGAAGUAACUAUGCACGUCUUGACGGUACCGAAUCAGAAAGCCACGGCUAACUACGUG